CAUUACCAUCAACUGAACUGCGCUCAGAAUCGUUUUUUCCUUAGCAAUGGUUUAGUAAUGCUUACAGGUAUACAUUAAACUACUUAUAACAGUGACUACACCUAGAAGGUUUUUUUUUAGUAUGUGUAUAUUAUUGUUUAUUUGAUUUUUUUUGCACUCUAUAUAUCGAUCAUCUGGAAGUAUUGAACUUUUGUUAACGGACGACCACAUCUAUAUAGAUCAGUCAUUAUUUCCAGUGCCUUCGGUAAAGUUUAACUGUUUAAAUGUGAAAGUAUUCAUAUAUGAUAUAAACGAUCGAUAUAAUUUUAA